AAUACGGAGGGUGCGAGCGUUAAUCGGAAUUACUGGGCGUAAAGACGCAUGCAGGCGGCCCGUGUUAAGUCAGAUGUGAAAGACCCGGGGCGUUAACCUCGGAAUUGCAUUUGAAACUAGGCAGGCUAGAGUCUUGUAGAGGGGGGUAGGAAGUUUCAGGUGUAGCGGUGAAAUAGCGUAGAGAUCUGAAGGAAUACCAGUGGCGAAGGCGGCCCCCCUCGGACAAAGACUGACGCUCAGAUGCGAAAGCGUGGGGAGCAAACAGGAUUAGAUACCCCUGGUAG
rnacentral:rRNA from 1 species